rnacentral:rRNA from 1 species
GAGUUUGAUCGUGGCUCAGAUUGAACGCUGGCGGUAUGCUUAACACAUGCAAGUCGAACGGUAACAGGCUAGCUUGCUAGCGCUGACGAGUGGCGGACGGGUGCGUAACGCGUAGGAAUCUGCCUAUUAGUGGGGGACAACCUGGUGAAACCAGGCUAAUACCGCAUACGCCCUACGGGGGAAAGGCAGGGGAUCUUCGGACCUUGCGCUAAUAGAUGAGCCUGCGUUAGAUUAGCUUGUUGGUGAGGUAAUGGCUCACCAAGGCGACGAUCUAUAGCUGGUCUGAGAGGACGAUCAGCCACACUGGGACUGAGACACGGCCCAGACUCCUACGGGAGACAGCAGUGGGGAAUAUUGGACGAAUGGGCGGAAGCCUGAUCCAGCAAUACCGCGUGUGUGAAGAAGGCCUGAGGUUGUAAAGCAC